UACGAAGGUCCCAAGCGUUAUCCGGAUUUAUUGGGUUUAAAGGGUGCGUAGGCGGUCUAUUAAGUCAGUGGUGAAAGCCCCAAGCUCAACUUGGGAACUGCCAUUGAUACUGAUGGACUUGAGUACAUUUGAGGUGGGCGGAAUGUGUCAUGUAGCGGUGAAAUGCGCAGAUAUCAGGAGGAACACCGAUGGCGAAGGCAGGUCUCUGGGCAUUAACUGACGCUGAGGAGCGAAAGCAUGGGGAGCGAACAGG
rnacentral:rRNA from 1 species